GAUGAACGCUGGCGGCGUGCCUAAUACAUGCAAGUCGAGCGAACAGACGAGGAGCUUGCUCCUCUGACGUUAGCGGCGGACGGGUGAGUAACACGUGGAUAACCUACCUAUAAGACUGGGAUAACUUCGGGAAACCGGAGCUAAUACCGGAUAAUAUAUUGAACCGCAUGGUUCAAUAGUGAAAGACGGUUUUGCUGUCACUUAUAGAUGGAUCCGCGCCGCAUUAGCUAGUUGGUAAGGUAACGGCUUACCAAGGCAACGAUGCGUAGCCGACCUGAGAGGGUGAUCGGCCACACGGGAACUGAGACACGGUCCCGACUCCUACGGGAGGCAGCAGUAGGGAAUCUUCCGCAAUGGGCGAAAGCCUGACGGAGCAACGCCGCGUGAGUGAUGAAGGUCUUCGGAUCGUAAAACUCUGUUAUUAGGGAAGAACAAAUGUGUAAGUAACUAUGCACGUCUUGACGGUACCUAAUCAGAAAGCCACGGCUAACUACGUG
rnacentral:rRNA from 1 species